UUCUGGCCUUCAUAUUGCAUAAGAGACGAGAUAAACACUGAAACGCCUGAAGCAAGAAGCAAAAAAUCAGAUGGAGCCUUCAAAACCGCUUGAACUCAUCAACUGCGCCUAAGGAGGGUCGAUCCACCGUCGAUCUUCAGACGCCUGCAUCUCCACCCGCAAAGGGGCUUCUUCAACCCAGAAGUAGUCUGCCGUGCUGGAUUCCAGAUCUGCUGCUAACAGAUGAGUAGCUUUAUUACCAUCGUGAGGGACGAAUCUGAACGAACAUGCAUGGAAGGAUUCAGCCCUUCUCCGUUCCUCCCAUGUCAUCGCGCUAAUCUCUGAAAGGUCUGGUUCAUGUGAGCUUAAUUUCUCUAUUACUGUGCGAGAAUCCCCCUCAAAGAUUACGUGCUGGAAUCCGAGGUCAACAGAAAAUUGGACAGCGUGUAUGGGCGCCAUCGCCUCGGCCAUGAACGGAGAGGUAAUUUGCUCAGUUUUCCGUUUACAUGUUCCCAUAAUGAAAACCUUCGUUAUUCCUAAUAACAAUUCCUGACCAAGCUCUUUUCUGUGCUUGCGAGAACCUGGAAUCAAAAUUGAUUUUAACCCAUGGGACGCGAGGGGGUAUCCAGCGAAACAGAGUCUGUGCAUGGACUCCCCGAAGGCAAGUAUUUGCUGUAGUAAAAUCCAAGCACUGGGCUUUGACAAGGGGUAACUAGGAAACAACUCGCCUAACCAGAUCAAAAAAUUAUCAGCAUAAUCAGCUACUGGCCAUUGGUAGUUUAACGUGGGCCAAACCGAUCGGGCGAAAUGGCAAUCUUUAAUAACAUGAAUUCCAGAUUCCAAAACACCUGCACACUGAGAGCACGUUGGAUCGUUCGUAAUACGCUUAACAUGUAGGUUUUGUCUGAUGGGUAUGUAAUUGCAAACAAAUCUCCAAACUUGAAUUUUAAUUUUCCUUUGACA